GUUUGGAUGGCUUAGUGGUUAGAGGAUCUGCCUAGUGAGCAGGAGACCUGGGUUUGAAUCCCAGUCCAGCACA